GAUGAACGCUAGCGGCAGGCCUAACACAUGCAAGUCGAGGGGUAGAGUUAGCUUGCUAACUUGAGACUGGCGCACGGGUGCGUAACGCGUAUGCAAUCUACCUUGUACAGGGGGAUAGCCCAGAGAAAUUUGGAUUAAUACCCCAUGGUGUUUAGAAGUGGCAUCCCUUUUUUACUAAAGUUCCAACGGUACAAGAUGAGCAUGCGUCCCAUUAGCUAGUUGGUAUGGUAACGGCAUACCAAGGCUAUGAUGGGUAGGGGUCCUGAGAGGGAGAUCCCCCACACUGGUACUGAGACACGGACCAGACUCCUACGGGAGGCAGCAGUGAGGAAUAUUGGUCAAUGGUCGCAAGACUGAACCAGCCAUGCCGCGUGCAGGAAGACGGUCCUAUGGAUUGUAAACUGCUUUUAUACAGGAAGAAACCCUCUCACGUGUGGGAGCUUGACGGUACUGUAUGAAUAAGCAUCGGCUAACUCCGUGCCAGCCGCCGCGGUAA
rnacentral:rRNA from 1 species